UUUUUUUCCUUCAGGUAAGUUUUUAUUCCAUUUAGAGUUCAGUUUGGUAUAUGAUAUUAAAACCUGAGUAUUUGCUAAAAGGUCAAUCUUAAUCAGCAUCACAGAUUGAACAAAGAAUCCUUUUUCCAGUUAUGUGAAAUUCCAUAUUUCAACGAAAUUUGUACACAUUAUGUAUUGGGAUUUGCUUCUGGGCCUUAUAUUUUCCAUUAGUGUGUUAAUUACUGAGUAGUACCAAGAUUACUCUCUUUUUAUAAACAUUUAGAUAGAUACUAGUAUACACUGUUCCUCAUUUUCAUUUUUUUCAACAAUUUCUUAGCUAUUCUUGAAGAUUUAUUCUUUCUAAUGUACUUUAAGAACCAAUUUCUGAAGUUAAAAAAUAAACUGGUGGUUUUUAGUAUAUACUGAGUUGUGCAGUCAUCACUGCUGUCUAAUUUCAGAACAUUUUCAUCACUUUCAUAACAACUUCCAUUCCUAUUAGGAGUCCCCUAAAUCUCCAUUCCCCCAGUCUCUGGCACCCACUAAUCUGCUCUGCCUAUUCUGAAUGUCAUAUAAAUGGGAUUAUAGGGUAUGUGGCCUUCCUAAUCUGGCUUCUUUCAGUCAGCAAUGUUUUUAAGGUUCAUCCAUGUUAUGGCAUGUAUCAGGACUUUGUUCCUUUUUAUGGCCGCAUAAUAUUCCAUUGUAUGGAUGGAUACACCACAUUGCAUUUAUCUACUCGUCGGUUAUCGAACAUUUGAGUUGUUACCUUUUUGGGGCUAUUAUGAAUAAUGCUGUUAUAAACGUUGCUGUAAUAAGUUUUGGUAUGAACAUGUUUUUGAUUCUUUGGGGUAUAUAUAAGUACCUAAGAGUGGAACUGCAGGGUCAUAUAUGGUAAUUCUAGGUUUAAUUUUUUGAAGACAUGCCAAACUGUUUCCCACAGUGGCUGCACCAUUUAACAUUCCUACCAGCAACGUAUAAGGGCUCCAAUUUCUCCACAUCCUUGCCAACACUUGUAACUGCUGUUUUUCAUUUUAGCCAUGCUAGUUGGUUUUCAUUUGCUUUUCCCUCAUGGCUAAGACGUUGAACAUCUUUUCAUGUCUUUAUUGGCCAUCUGUGUAUCUUUUUUGCAGAGAUGACCCUAUGUGCUUUCUCAGGUGACACAAGGUAUCAACUUUCAAUUAGCUAGGAGUAGUAAACUGGCGAACCGUGAUCUUUCCUCUCACCCCACAGUCACAAAUGAGACUAUUUUAAAAUCUACUUAAAUCCACUUAGAACACACAAUCAGAAUAGAAAAUAGAAAAUGAAAAUCUCAUAAUUCCACCCUAGCACUGUUCAUAAUUCUUUAUUCUUUUUUUUUUCUGAGCAGCAGCAAAUGUAUACAUGCUUGUAACAGAAAACACAAAGCAAUAUAUCUGUAACAUCAUGUGUGAGGAUAUAUAUAAAGGUUGAGCAGUUACAACAUGCCAAGCAGUAUUCCAAACACUUCAAAAUCUCAUUCAAUGCUAAUAAUAUAUUUAAAAAUUAUAUUAGGACCAUCUCAUAUUUAGUUUAGAUCCUUAUCCUAUAGUGAACAUUUUUCUUUAAGUUAUCUUCCAAAAUAUAACUUUUAGUACCAACAAAAUAUUCCAAUUUGUGAUAUAAUUCAAUGUAACUAAUCUGUCAUUAUUGGAGGGUUAGACUGUUCUAGUUUUUCACUAUGAUAAACAGUAUUUUUAUAUACCAAAUGUUCAUAUUUUAUAUAAUAGGCAGUGUUUACCCAACACUUAGUACGAGCCCUUGUGAGAGCCACUUUAUGUGGAUUCUCCCAUUUAAUUCACAACACUUGAUGAGGUAGGGAUUACCAUCAGGCCCAUUUUACAGAUGAGGAAACUGAAGGUUAGUGAGGCCAAGAAACUCCCCCAGGGCCACAAGCCAACUUGGUGGCAGAGUCAGGAUUCAAGUUAGGUCUGUGUGACCACCGAGUGGAGCCUUUGAUCACGACACCACCGAAUCUCGUCUCCCGUUAUGUCUUUAGGCAGAAGAGCUAGAUCAAAAGGAACAUGCCUCUUUUUGGGUAAAGUCUGUAAACGCUGCCAUGUUACCCUUCAGUAAGAUCAUACCUGUUUCUACAAUGCUUGUUUUCACACCCUUAUCAAUGCUGGAUACCAGCACUUUAAAAAAAUAGUAUUUUCAAUUGUCUAUGUAAAAAGAUGCCAGCUCAUUGACGGGUACCAGUGAUUCCUCUGUGAUUACUUCCUCUAAUAGACAAAGCAUAGUAGGGCAUGAUCUCCUAGCAGGGCCCAGUGGUUUCUAAGUGCAGAAAGGGGAUUUUGUAAAUCCAGCCCCCAGAGAGCACUGCGGCAGCAGUGGUGACAGGAAGAGCACCGAGGUCAAGGGCAGGGCACAGCAGGUGGACAGCCCAGGUGAGCCUCAGACUGGACCCAGGCAGCUGAGUCAACACACCGCUCAUGAGUUCUCAUCUUUAACAUCUGAAAAGUGUCAAGAAACCAAGAAUUUCCCCUUGGCCCCGUGUUCCUGACUUUAUGGGAAUGCCACUUUAAAAGGUCCACAUCAAGGUAGGAAAGUUUCCAAAGACCUCUCGGCUCACCUGGACUCUGCCUUUUUCUUUAUCUUCAACGCUCCCUGUGCCCCUCCCCACCCCCUACGCACUACCAAACUGUGGAGCUGGGAUGACCAGACUUCAUAAGGACCCAGAUCUCCCACACCCCACCAGACCCCUGACGAGGCCACAGCCUUAGCCGUUUCCAAUGAGCCCAGCCUGGAUGAGAAGCCGUUUCUGGGCUCCCAUCACACCCCGUGCUUCCUUCGGCUCCGGCAAGUGUCAGACCACGUUGUAAUUGCUGGUAUCUGUCUCCUCAACUAGAUUUUCAAUUUGUUGAGAGCACUCCCUUUGUCAUCAUGCUACACCCAGCAUAUAGGCCGGCGUCUGGGAAUGAAAGAGUUUCAGUACUUUUUCAUGAAUAAAUUACAGAGCUCAUCUAGCAAACUGGCAGCCAGUUUCACCUAAACUUUUCUAUCCAAAGAAAGGAACUAAAAUUCAGUGAGCCUCUAUUAGGUGCCCAGUACUUCACAUGCACAAACUCCAGUAAUUCUCACAACCCACUGCGGAAGGCCGUCGAGCUGGUAUUUCACAGAUAAAACGUUAAAGCCUCACUUUCCACACAGGGCUAGUAGGGCCAAAAUCUGAAGCCAGGUCGGUAUGAAUCUGUCUUUGUGCUCUUUCUACUCCGAUAACAUUAAGGGACACCCCCUCCGAAACACAACGCCAAUAUAAACCGGAGGGGAGGGGUUACUUUUCCAGAACUGUUGGUUUAAAAUUCCCUUGGAAUUUAAAAAAAAUCCUGGAGGAAUCUCUGGUUAGGAUACAGAGAGGGGAGCAGGAACCUGAGAAGGGAGAUGUAGAAGGGGGUGGUGAGCAAAAUUAGAGAAUGCUUCUCUAUUAAUCUCAAAGCACCACGCGAGGUAUUUUGACCCCUUUAAGGUGUCUCAAGCCUGGGAAGCUUUCAGAGGAGUACCGUGGAUUCUUAUGGCACUAAAACAUAAGAAGCGAAGAAAAAUAGCAGCUGUCAUAUGUAUGAUGGAGCAAAAGGAUAGCCGGUCUCAGUCUGAUGAAUAAUAAGUCAUAUAACCGUGGCCAAGCCUAAGUCAUUAAAAUUCUCUGGAAACUUCCAUCUCCUCAUUUCUAAACUGAAAGGUUUAGGCUAUGACAGCUUCCAACCCGGCUCUGCAUCCAGAAAGCUCCCUGAGCCCAUGAAAAAUACUGAUCUUAAAUCCUGUCCUUUCCCCAAUUUCAUAGGCCUGGGGUGAGACUCAGAAAUCCUAAAGUGACUGACAGACUCAGCCAAGUUUGGGAACACCAGGUGAGAUCUUCUUUUUCCUCCCCAGGAGAGAAGGUGAACAGGCAGCCAGCUGGUUCAGCACAUCAAGUCGCAGAACGGAAGACCACCAAGAAAGAACCGGUCCAAUUCUGUAAGGCUUAAUAAUCUCUUCCUGUUUCAGGGCAAAAUGCAUUAUGCUCAGUCUUCUUUGCUGCUUAAACUUGUGUUAGUUCUACCAACGUACUAACCAGAAGAGUGCCAAAAACUGCACUGGUGAGGAAUGUAAACUUUUUGAAUUGCCACGGCUUCCCUGGAGGUAUCAGCUGCUAGAUCCUUCCCAGGCUGCUGGGCCAUUAGUUCCUCUACUUUCUUCCUUAAAAGUUCCUCUGAGGAGGAAAUGCUAUCAGAAGAUUUAAAGGGCAGACAGGGAAUGUGUGUAGGGAGACUGGAGGAACAGCCUUACCUUGACGUCUAGCUUGGCCAGAUGCUGCAGAACCCAGAUGCGAUGGGACCAGGCAUUAUAGUUGCUUGGGUAUCUCCCUGCCGCUUCACCACAGACCUCCAUCUCUUCUCGUAUUAGUCUCUGUGUCCUUUCUGCAGGAAUUGUUCCCAAGUUUCCUUUUGUCACAAAGGAAGGCAAGGAGGUUUCCUGAAUUAGCUGUUGUAGCACCCAUCGCCUGUUAAGGUACACGUGGGAAUGAGAACGAGGAAAGAACAUAAAUCAGAGAGGAAAACAGCCAGCUUUCUUUGAUCUUAAUUUCCAUUCGUGCAAUGCCUAUCUAUGAGCCCAAUUUUGCGGCAGUGGGAUUACUUUGUUGUAUUUGUUUUUAAAGAUAUAUUGGGGUGCCUGGGUGGCUCAGUCAGUUGAGCGUCUGACUUCAGCUCAGAUCAUGGUCUUGUGGUUCACGAGUUCAAGCCCCACAAUGGGCUCUAUGCUGACAGUUCAGAGCCUGGAGCCUGCUUCAGAUCCUGUGUCUCCCUCUCUCUCUCUGCCGCUCCCUUGCUCGUACUCUCUCUGUCUCAAAAAUAAAUAAAACAGUAAAAAAAAUUUUUAAAGAUAUAAUUAGCUUCAGCACCAUGGAUAGAGAGGAAGAGGAAGAAAGGUCAGAGAGAGGAACCUUUCUAAAGCAUUAAAAUGUGUCAAAAAGACAUUGCCUAGUUCUAAUAUAACAACUCAAAAAAGUCCAAUUGGCCAGGAAAUGCAAAGACAAGGGGUGUGUGUGUGUGUGUGUGUGUGUGUGUGUGUGUGUGUGCGCGCGCGCGCAUGCACGCGCAUGUGUGUGUACCGGGUUGUGGUGGUAGUGGUCCUGGAAGGGAUAUUAAUUAAUGGCUGGUAAAUCCCAGAAGAGGAAUCAUGGUUCACAUCUUUAAUUAUAUGUACAUGCCUCACCCUAUGUGUAUUUGUUUGCAAAUAAGAAACUGCAUUAUGACUGCUUUCAUUAAGCAGAAUUUCUUUAUUAUAGCAGAAAAUGUGGAAAGACACAAAUACAAUAUAAUUAGUUAAACCAUCAAGGAGAUUUUAAAAUGUCUUUAUCCACAGAUUUUCCCCUUGUCUAUUUAAGAUUUUCAUUAGCAUACAUUUAAAUGAAAAGCACUAAAAAAGCAUGUCUAACCACCUAACGUCUUUAGUUUUUACAAAUAUUUUCUCAAUAAGAAGCAUUCUUAUAGACGAAAUUUUCCAACCCAAAGGUUACUAGAAAUUGAGUAUAAAAAUUCAUUUUGUCAUUUUCAAACAGAAGCUUUUUACUUAACAACAAAAACCUGUUUUAUAAAAUAUUAGAUAACCCUAUAAAUUGGUACAAUAAUGCACUUCCCCUGCCAUCACCCCUUUCCAAACCUCUAUACACACGCUCAUAUGCCUCUCUGAAGUGUCAUCCCAAUUCCUACUAAGAAAAUACCAUGGACUCCACAGUGGAAGUAGCUGAUUUGCAAUGCUAGCCAAAGGCAAGAUCACAGCUAAGAUACCUUGAACUAAGAUCCUAAAAAUGCUCAGGACUUAAGAAAAGUUCUAAGUGGCUUAGUAAACUGAGAAUGGACUUCUUUAUAAAGAAUUUCCCCCACUGACCCCAGCCGCAAGCCCACACCAUCCCAUUUUAGUCAAAAUGGAGUCAUUUUGUGGAGUCCCAAGAGCAAGAUGCUUCAGAGAGCCAGGAUGUUGAGAUGAGUUUUUACGUGCAUUUUGGCUGCCUCGGGCCUU